GGCCUGGUGGUGUGGUGGUGUGGUGGUGCUUUCUAUAGAUAUGUGAUUUCCUCUUUCGUAGGAGUCCCUUGUUCGAUUCAAGGCCAGGCCA